AACGAACGCUGGCGGCAUGCCUAACACAUGCAAGUCGAACGAGACCUUCGGGUCUAGUGGCGCACGGGUGCGUAACGCGUGGGAACCUGCCUUUAGGUUCGGAAUAACUCAGAGAAAUUUGAGCUAAUACCGGAUGAUGUCUUCGGACCAAAGAUUUAUCGCCUUUAGAUGGGCCCGCGUUGGAUUAGCUAGUUGGUGGGGUAAAGGCCUACCAAGGCGACGAUCCAUAGCUGGUCUGAGAGGAUGAUCAGCCACACUGGGACUGAGACACGGCCCAGACUCCUACGGGAGGCAGCAGUGGGGAAUAUUGGACAAUGGGCGAGAGCCUGAGCCAGCAAUGCCGCGUGAGUGAUGAAGGCCUUAGGGUUGUAAAGCUCUUUUAACCGAGAUGAUAAUGACAGUAUCGGGAGAAUAAGCUCCGGCUAACUCCGUG
rnacentral:rRNA from 1 species